rnacentral:rRNA from 1 species
UACCAGCACCCCGAGUGUUCGUGACGAUUAUUGGGCCUAAAGCAUCCGUAGCCGGUCCUACAAGUCUUCCGUUAAAUCCAGCUGCUCAACAGAUGGGCUGCGGAAGAUACUAUAGGGCUAGGAGGCGGGAGAGGCAAGCGGUACUCAGUGGGUAGGGGUAAAAUCCUCUGAUCCAUUGAAGACCACCAGUGGCGAAGGCGGCUUGCCAGAACGCGCUCGACGGUGAGGGAUGAAAGCUGGGGGAGCAAACCGG